AGGCAUACCCGUAGACCUUGCCUGACUGUGCUCAUGGCCAGACAAGGGGGACAGUGUGUGCCAGAGCAAAUGCGGAGUUCGUGCCAGCACUAGCCAGCUAAAUCCGUGGCUGGAUAAAUUGCCACACUCCAACAUUA
ensembl:snoRNA